GGAGGGGAGUACUGAGGCAAUGUAUUGGGUUGGAGGAUGGAGGAAUGAGGUGGAGGGGAGUACUGAGGUAAUGUAUUGGGUUGGAGGAUGGAGGAUGGGGGAUGAGUGGAGGGGAGUACUGAGGCAAUGUAUUGGGUUGGAGGAUGGAGGAAUGAGGAAUGAGGUGGAGGGGAGUACUGAGGUAAUGUAUUGGGUUGGAGGAUGGAGGAAUGAGGUGGAGGGGAGUACUGAGGCAAUGUAUUGGGUUGGAGGAUGGAGAAAUGAGGUGGAGGGGAGUACUGAGGUAAUGUAUUGGGUUGGAGGAUGGAGGAUGGGGGAUGAGUGGGGGAGUACUGAGACAAUGUAUUGGGUUGGAGGAUGGACGAAUGAGGUGGAGGGGAGUACUGAGGUAAUGUAUUGGGUUGGAG
ensembl:lncRNA